rnacentral:rRNA from 1 species
UAGUUAUGUUCUUUAAACCUAAAGAAUUUGGCGGUAAUUUAGUCUAUUCAGAGGAAUUUGCCCUUUAAUCGAUAAUCCCCGUUUUAUCUUGCUUAUUUUUGUAAUAUCAGUAUGUAUACCGCCGUUAUAAGUUUAUUUUAUUAGAAUAAUAAUUUACUUAAAAUAUGAUUUUAUUUUAUUUCAGGUCAAGGUGCAGUUAAUAUAUAAGUUGAGGUGAAUUACAUUAUUAUUUAAAUAUACGAAUAUAAAAUUUAAAUUUUUAUUGAAGGUGGAUUUGAUAGUAAUAUAAAUUAUAAUAUUUAUUUGAUUAU